GGAGCUGUGCCUGAACUAAAGGACCACUUUGAUAGAGUGAACCACGGGGGUUAAAAUCCCCCCAGCUCCU
rnacentral:tRNA from 1 species